UAUAGGUUUGAGAUUUAAAAUUACAUAAUCAUUACGGCUUAUAAUUAUUUGAAUAAGCAGAAUAUUAAUUUCUGUAUUCAUCUUUUACGAUCUGUGUUCGAUCGGUUCGUUGAACCUAGAUUUGUUAGGUUAGGUUAGGCUAGGUUAGGUUAGGUUAGGUUAGGUUAGAUUUCAUGAGGGUUGAAAAUUACAUAUGUAGUUACUAUUGCUCAUAAUUAUUCCAGCGAAUUCUAAAGUCGUUGGACAAUUGCUCGAAUAAUUUCAAUUUAAGACACUUAAUGUAUUAAAGGUGCAUUCUUCGAAUAAUUAUGAGUAGUACAUGCCCUCGUUUAUAAGUAACAGCCUAUUAAGAGCUUAAUUUAGAGAUGUCUCCGAAAAGUAUGUAUUUAGAAGAAAAUCCUCCAGAAAUAUUGAUUAUUAUUUAGAAUACUUGAAUUUUAUUUUUGUUCAUGAUCUUAUACUGUUGCAUAUUCUCGGGAAAUUUAACAGUGUCGUUCUAGAGUUGAGAAAAAGAUUGCUGAAAGAAACGCUGUUUACAUCGAGAUUGACCUCUUACACUUUUUGAAGCUUUUUAGUAAAGUGAUCCUUAUAACACGACUAAGUUACAAACUGCGAUGAAACUUAUUGCAAUUUUGUGCAAACGAUGUUUCCUGAAAUUUUAUAAGGGAUUACGUUCGCUAUUUCACGCGAUUUACCGUAACGCUACUUAAUUGGAGAACCUUGAAAUUGGUCAUCAAUUAAUCGAUACUUCAUCGUGUUUCUGUAACUUAACGCGCAUUCAACGUGAACUUUAGAAUGCCGCAACGAAUGCAUAGAAAUGAGCUUAUAAUAGAAAACAGUUUUCCCUCACGCGAAGUCAGAUGUUAAUCAGUUCUUGCGACGAUUAAAUAAAACUAAAUGGAAAAAGGGAA